rnacentral:rRNA from 1 species
GCGAGUGAAGAGGGAAAAGCCCAAAUUUGUAAUCUGGCUCUUUUAUAAGGGUCCGAGUUGUAAUUUUGAGAACUGUUUUCCGCGCUGGACCAUGUACAAGUCUGUUGAAAAACAGCAUCAUUGAGGGUGAUAAUCCCGUACAUGAUAUGGACUACCAGGGCAAUGUGAUACAGUCUCUAAGAGUCGAGUUGUUUGGGAAUGCAGCUCAAAGUGGGUGGUAAAUUCCAUCUAAGGCUAAAUAUAGGUGAGAGACCGAUAGCAAACAAGUACCGUGAGGGAAAGAUGAAAAGAACUUUGGAAAGAGAGUUAACAGUACGUGAAAUUGUUAAAAGGGAAACAUUUGAAGUUACACUUGUUAUUGUUGGUUCAGCUCUUUUUUUAAGGGUGUAUUCCAAUGGUUAACAGACCAGCAUCAAUUUUUGGGUGUUAGAUAAGGGUCUUGAGAAUGUAGCAACCUUGGUUGUGUUAUAGCUCUUGACUUGAUAUAAUGCUUAGGAUUGAGGAACGCAGUGAGCUUCUCUUUUGAAGUGGAUGUUUUUUAAAUGUCUUCUCACUACGGAUGU